rnacentral:lncRNA from 1 species
UGGAACAUCCAUCAAAGACUGACAACCUCUUAUAAGGAUUUCACCCCAACUCACAUCUUUUAUCGAUCAAGUUCUACUGUCAGCUUUCACUUGUAAAUCCAAAGAAAGACCUUGCUUUAUAGUUGGAAUUUCAUUCUAGAUUGCACUACUAACAGCACUGUUAAUGAAGUCAAGCUCACUGUCUUACAGGGUGACCAGUGUGACCUCAUGACGCUUCUGU